UAGCGUUGUUCGGAAUUACUGGGCGUAAAGCGCACGUAGGCGGACAUUUAAGUCAGGGGUGAAAUCCCAGAGCUCAACUCUGGAACUGCCUUUGAUACUGGGUGUCUUGAGUAUGGAAGAGGUGAGUGGAAUUCCGAGUGUAGAGGUGAAAUUCGUAGAUAUUCGGAGGAACACCAGUGGCGAAGGCGGCUCACUGGUCCAUUACUGACGCUGAGGUGCGAAAGCGUGGGGAGCAAACAGG
rnacentral:rRNA from 1 species